rnacentral:rRNA from 1 species
UACGUAGGGUGCGAGCGUUAAUCGGAAUUACUGGGCGUAAAGCGUGCGCAGGCGGUUUUUUAAGACAGAUGUGAAAUCCCCGGGCUCAACCUGGGAACUGCAUUUGUGACUGGAAGACUAGAGUGCGGCAGAGGGGGGUAGAAUUCCACGUGUAGCAGUGAAAUGCGUAGAUAUGUGGAGGAAUACCGAUGGCGAAGGCAGCCCCCUGGGUCGACACUGACGCUCAUGCACGAAAGCGUGGGGAGCAAACAGG